rnacentral:rRNA from 1 species
GCAUCCUUCGGGGUGAGUGGCAGACGGGUGAGUAACGCGUGGGAACGUGCCCUUCAGUUCGGAAUAACCCAGGGAAACUUGGGCUAAUACCGGAUACGUGCGAGAGCAGAAAGAUUUAUCGCUGAAGGAUCGGCCCGCGUCUGAUUAGCUUGUUGGUGGGGUAAUGGCCCACCAAGGCGACGAUCAGUAGCUGGUCUGAGAGGAUGAUCAGCCACAUUGGGACUGAGACACGGCCCAAACUCCUACGGGAGGCAGCAGUGGGGAAUAUUGGACAAUGGGCGCAAGCCUGAUCCAGCCAUGCCGCGUGAGUGAUGAAGGCCUUAGGGUUGUAAAGCUCUUUCAGCGGGGACGAUAAUGACGGUACCCGCAGAAGAAGCCCCGGCUAACUUCGUGCCAGCAGCCGCGGUAAUACGAAGGGGGCUAGCGUUGUUCGGAAUCACUGGGCGUAAAGGGCGCGUAGGCGGCUUUGUAAGUCGGGGGUGAAAGCCUGUGGCUCAACCACAGAAUUGCCUUCGAUACUGCAUGGCUUGAGACCGGAAGAGGUUAGUGGAACUGCGAGUGUAGAGGUGAAAUUCGUAGAUAUUCGCAAGAACACCAGUGGCGAAGGCGGCUGACUGGUCCGGUUCUGACGCUGAGGCGCGAAAGCGUGGGGAGCAAACAGGAUUAGAUACCCUGGUAGUCCACGCCGUAAACGAUGAAUGCCAGCCGUUGGCGAGCUUGCUCGUCAGUGGCGCAGCUAACGCUUUAAGCAUUCCGCCUGGGGAGUACGG